AGUGAUGGUGAAACAUACCUGGUGAAAUAAAAAAAACACUCUGGAGGAUUUCAUUCUUGGUGAUCUCUAAGAUUUCCUUGGUAAUGUUGAUCAUUCUUCCUACUACUGGAGGGACACGACGAAAAUCCAGGAUUCUGAAAGAAGGAAGGGGAAAUAUUUAUGACAGUGAAUGGAAGAAAUAGACUCCAUUUGCUAAGCUACUGAAAGAAAGAAGAGUUCAUUAUCUCAUGUGAAAAAUGAAUACACUUCCUGCACCAGAUCCGGCCAGCGUAUCCUUUCUAUUAACCUCUAUUGGAUCCUGAUGCCUCCUGUGAACAGAAUAGCCAAUGUGGAUCCAAACCAAUGCAAUGAGGAAGUCUGAAUACACAGAUAAAAGAAUUGCAAGGAGUUGAUCAACAGCUGGACUGGCCCUUGGAUACAGGGCAUGGCGAUUAAUGCCCAGAUGGAACUGGAGCCAGCUUGCUUCCUGCCUGAGUUGCAUCAUGGAG